rnacentral:misc_RNA from 1 species
CUGUUUCCCAUUGAAUGUGAAUACUCGCACAAUAUUAAAGGACGUGGUUCUGUCAGAUCUUUUGCAAUCUUCACUAUGUCCCAGACACGCAUAUACAUGGGGCAUAUGAUGUCUGUAGAUGUAGUUCUGGAUCCACCACCUUCAUAGUGCAAUAACCGAGAGGUAUCCUUUCCACGAACCCAACCUGCUGCAGCAGAAUGAUUAGGUCCAUAUGAGGACUCAUUUCCUAAAGACCAAGAAAUUAUGCAUGCAUGAUUUUUAUCUCUCUCCACCAUCCCUAUCACACGAUCAGUCAUUGCAGUAGCCCAACUUUGUUCUGAAGUAGGAUGCUUUAGAUGCCCACAAAGAUGAAAACCAUGUGUCUCAAUGUUGGCUUCAUCUAUCAUGUACAUGCCAAAAACAUCACACAACUCAUACCAACGGGGAUGCUGGGGGUAAUGACUGUUUCUAACAGCAUUGAUGUUGUUUUGCUUCAUUAAAACCAGAUCCUUCACCAUGCAGGACUCUAUGUUUGUCUUCCCAACACGUGGAUGAUGCUCAUGUCUGUUCACUCCUCUUAUUAUAACUGGACAACCAUUAACAAGCAGCUGUUUAGGUGCCUUUGACACCUGUCUUAUGCCUACUAGGCAUGAUUCACAGUCAACCAUAUGCCCAGAUGCAUCUUUGAGGGUGAGAACAAGAAUGUAAAGGUUCGGUUGCUCUGCAGACCAAAGCUUCGGCUUUUCUAGUUUCCCCACUAGCACAUAACCAAGAAAUCCCAGAAUUGGAUCAAAGGAGGGAUUAAGUGCUAUGUCAGCCACCUUCGAGGAAAGAAGAUCAGCAGAUCCAUCACUACUGUACCAGCUUCCAGUGUCAUAUAAUGCACCUUCUAUGAUGAAGUUGCCAAAAAUUUUGUCUUUAGGUAUUUCUCGG